CGAGAAGGCCCAGUAGUGUGGCAGCAUCUGGGACAGAGGGGUGGGGGUGAGACAUACAGGUCAGGGGAAGAAGGCAAGAGGAGCACGGAGAGACCAAUUAGAAAGCUAUUGCUGUUGUCCAGGUGGGAAAUCACCACUGGCUCAGGGAAUAGCAGUGAGGUGAAGACGCAUGGGGAGAUGUGAGAGAUCAUACACACUUCAAAUGUCAGAGUAACAGUGAGACCACAGAAACCUUCAUUGUCAUCUUCUUCCCUGCAUACACCUCCAUGUGCUGUAAAGGUUAUUGUUAAUGAUCCUGUGCACACCAAUGGAAAAGAAGUGCAUGUUCUCUGUUUUACUUUUUAUCCAGUCCUAGAGAUCUCCCCGCUUUGUUUUCUCUGCCUCCUUAA